rnacentral:lncRNA from 1 species
UUGGCUCAUCGUCAGUGAAGGUGCUUCCAUAUUUCCUGCGGUCUGAUCGCGUUGUCUUUGCGUUCCUUGCGUUUGUGAGUUCUUUUGAAAGCUUUUUACCUAUUUUUGUUCUUCACCGCCUCCAACUCUUGGUGACAACGGAAUCAAAGUGAUGAUCGUUUUGUGGAUGACGCCAUUCUCACUUACAUGGACUUGUUCGUCUACAGACGAUACUGCAGAGUGCCGGCGCUUGCAGCGAAGGAGAACCACGUAGGAGAAAUUUGACAUCCAGCCGCAGGCCAUACAACGCUUCACGAAGACGAAAAUUUACAGCACUGAUUGGUUGAAUUGGUUGGAAUACUUGCAGCGUCAUUGGUAACACACGGACGAUCACGGCGCACGGGCUAAUUUCGACGCGAUCUCAAGGCGUUUAUGUUACACUGCUUUGGAAUAUAAGAAACUGGAGAACUUCUGCCAGAUCAUCACAGUCCGCGAACGACGGACGGAGAAAAAUCGUAAAUGACGGAUAAAAAAUUAUCACAGCAUAUAUACGAAGUGAAUGAUGACGAGUGGGCGAAGCUCCGGGGGAUCAUUAACCGUGAAUCCUCCCGUACACUGGCCACUUGAUCAUGCAAAGACGUGACAACACGUGUGUACAGUAUACACAAUGUUGUUUAUUAGUCACACUGCGUAUAUGGUGUUGAGAUGUGCGCGGCAUUUUCCUUUCAUUCUGGCCACCCUAUGAUCGGUGAAAUGUAAAGCCAAAGGUUAUUCUAUGGGAUCCAACCUAAAAUUAGCUUAAUGUGUGGUUGGCUCUGUGUGUAUGCUCGGAAAAGUAGUGAAAGCACUUACCAGACAAACGAAUAAGUGCCUCGUUAUACAUGAUGCUUGCUGUACUUUUCAUGCAGAAGAAAUAAAAAGAAUAAUAUUGUCACGUGGCUGUGACGUUGACGAAGACAACAGCCGGCGUGUUCAAGAUGAACCUCUUGAUUUGGC